UCAUUGUGGGGGACUGCAAGCUGCAAAGCAAGGGAAUGGAAAAUGGUGAGCAAGUGUCUCACGGGCCAGGAAGCCUUGAGGCCUGCCUGACCGUUCCUCCUGAGGCAACCGUCUCUCCGGUCUUCUUCCGGCAUCAGCCCUGAAGAGGGACAACCAACAGACAUUAAGGAACAAGGCACGGACCUCUUUUAACAGGUGGGGAAGAGAAGAACAGGGAGCUCAACGAUUUGCUGAAGAUCACAUGACCCUCCCCCCACACCGAGGAGCCCCAGGCUUCAGGAAAUGCCAGCGUACCGCCCCAGAAUGCCUGGCAGGUCAUGUGUUUUGAAUCACCUGCUAAAAGAUUCUAAAGGCUGUAUUUUAUCUUCUAGGAUUCCUGGGAGAUAAAAGGUCAAAAGUAAAAAGCAAAAGUGUGCAGAAGUUGUGGGAAAAUUUAUGAAAAUUGAUUUUAGUUCCCUCCUCCCUACUUCCGAGGCCACAUGGACCUGCUCCCUCCCUGCCUGAAUGGAAGGGAGGGGCCCCUAGAUCCUGCCCCAGCCUGUCCUCCAAAUAAGUAGUUGGCCCAACCGCCCGGUGUCCAGCCUGGGCUUCUCGUGCACUUAAAGGGAGGCAGAGAUUGCAGAACGACUGCAUUCUGAGAAUGGAGUCAGGGUUGACUUUUUCCACCUCCAGCAUCGGCCAGAGGGCAGUUUCCUUCCCUGCUUUGCACUUAUUUCCUGCGUGUGCUUAUGAAAUUGAUGUUUUAACGUGUCUGAUCAUAAUUUCUCCAUGUGUGAGAAAGGAAUUUUGAGACCCAUCCCUAAGACUGCUGUAAAUAGUAAACAAGCCACCCCCACCCCCGAAAAAUAUGAUGGGCUUUUAAGCACAGUGCUUGGCCCAUUAUAAACCCCGUGGAAAUGAUGUUUUUUCUUAUUUUUCCUUAAUGCUUAUUCCCAUCUCCUUUAUUUUUGUUAUUUUGGCUUCUUUUCUUUCUUCACAUUUUCUCCUUUUCGCCUAUAUAGAACAGCAUUUUUUUUUUUUUAAGAAAUAUUCUUUAUUUUUGUUACAUUUGAUUUCUUGAAAACCCAAUUAAUUUCCUAAGUGGUCAUAUUUCUAAUACUAGCCAAAUUUCAUGAGCUGGGUAUGGGGGAAGGGUUCUUUCAGACCCCAAGAAAAAUUCCGUCAGAGUACUUUUUAUUGCUCAUUAAAAAAAUCAAAUUUUAAGCACAAUUCUUCAUAAAUACACAAGUACACAUAUAUGUCAACAAAUCGAUGCAUAUUUAUCUCUCAGAUAUGGCCAGUGCAGCGUUCCUGAGCUGUUUCCUAGCUGUUUCCUUGGUAGGGCCCUUUCUGCAGUGGGAAUCCACAUUUUUUUAGCUCAAGUCCUAAGGCUUUGUAACCACUGAACAUGCUGUUAAAAAAUCAAAUGACUUUUUAUAACCAGGGUUAAACACACAAAUAUCAUUCAUGUGUCCCUUCUUAUAAGCACAUGGCUAACAAUUUUGAACAGUCCACAGUCAAGCCUCCCUCAUUUGUUAGUAAUUUUAAAGGGUUUAUAGUACCUAGCAGCUGAUUUUAAAAAGCUGCCUUAUCUGCACUCAAAGCCUUACCAGCUCAAAGCCGAGUUCUUUAUGGUAAAACUAUCUGUCUCAGGCAUUGUUUAUAUAAAACUAGGUUAAUUAAAAAAAAAUCUUGGACAAUUAAGACAGAAAACUAUUCGGUGAUUUCAGUUGGUUUCUCCAAUACAUUAAGCAUGGCAAGCAAACAAGACUCCAGAUUUCCGAGUAAGCACUCCAUGGAUGUGUGUUUCAUCAGCAUCUUUGAAAUCUUUUCAUCAAACCGAGUCGUUAAGAAAAAGUGUGGGAUGUUAUGUUAGCCAUGGAUGCUGAACACAUACAGGACGACUCACCUCCUGUACCUAUUCACCUAGGAAUUAAAGUUUCCUAUUAAAAAGAUAUCUUACGAAUUCCCUUUUUACUUAAUACACAUUGAUUUUUGUUACUGUUAAUGCAUUUACAGAAACCGUGGAAGUGAAUGUGGGUUUCCACAGAACGACUGCUAAACCCCUCUAAGCCUUAAAUGGUUUUUUUAAAAAGUGCCCUUAUUAACGGCCCCCCCAGUUCAGCAGAUUGUGGACGUACUGGUAUACAAAUACACAUUUGUGUUGAGAGGAAGCCGGUAUUUCUUAGGACAAUUCCCUUUGCCACACACACAGAUGGAAGCGAAGUGGGAGGUAGCAAGCACUGAAGCAGCCGCUGGAAUGAGCACGCUUACUCGCUCCGCAUAAAUACAGGCCCCACUGUAUUUAACUCGCGGGGGAGUCUAACAAUGGAUGAAACCACGGACCAAAAUCCCAAGCCAGAGUGCAGUGUGCAGAGGGGUAAAUGCGCUGCAGUGUUCUACAACAGAAAGAUAGGCUGUGUGGUAACUUAGCAUUUAGAGCCCUUCUAGGGAAGGCUGGAGGGAGGGUGGACGUCACAUUAGUCUCCAUGCUGUUGCAUCUGCCCUUCCCAGUCAGUACGAUAAAAUUUCUGUGAAAUUUAGCACCACGCAAGCCUACAGCAGUCUGAUGAGAUCUGACUAUUUUUGGUUAAGAAAGAAAGAACCUAUUUUAUUACAAAAUCCCAUCUAAGGGACCCAUCAUCUACCCGUGAAGCUGCAGAUCUCUCUGCCAAAGUUCUCUUCCUAGGAUCUUUAAAUGAGUGGUUAACUUUUAUAGCAUGUUUGUUAGAACACCACUUAAAAAAAAAAAAUCCAUUACCACCCAGUUAAGGAAAGAAAGGUAAGACAUAAAAUCAAAAGUAAAUAGUAAAAAGAUGGGUCUCUAUCAAUCUCAGUAAGCCAGAAACCAUCGAAGGAAAUAAUUUAUUUUAAAUACUAUUCCUUAGGAAAAAAAAAUGUUCUUCAUGUUAAAAUUUAGCAUUAUAGGAAGCACAACAAAAUUCUGGAGUUCUAUCUAUGGAGGGAAAAAGAAGAAUCACUGCUAAAAAAAGAGUUAAUUUACUAAGGCCUAUGAUGACCUUGUUCACAUUUGUAUGAAAGCCUCAUCAUCCAUUCUUCUUGAGAAAUCUCUUAAGUGUUAUUUUUUUUUUCCUGUUACUUGGACCUAUCUAUUCCUCUGCGCAAAAGAUGGAAAAAGUGCUAAAAACAUUGGCUGAUGGACAAUAAUGGAAAAUAAACUUUGUAAACUUCUAUUACCACACUUUUUCCAUAACAGAAAAGAACAGGAAAAUGACAGGGGGACGACAAAGCGUGUGCUUGCUACUCAAGCUGCUCUGUCCUAUUAGCUGACUAAACCCAAUACCCUUUCCCCUCCUGAUACUAUUAACUAUAGGUUUUCUAGUAAAUUCCUAGCAACCACUGCAUCUAAGCAGUUUUGACAAAAAAGAAAGCUUAUUGCUAAACACCUUAAAAACAUUUACCAAGGUAAUAAAAGAAAUGUCAUUCCCUCCUACUGAAUGUUUAGGCAUAAAAGAGGUAUUUUUAUAGUGUAGUUCAUGAUUUACCAUAUCUAUAGUGUCCAAAAAAAGCACAAUGAAAAGGAAGCAUUUUUCCAGUGGUUUGACAACUAUUUGAAUCAACUGUUAGGGUUUCAUUACUCUAGUGGCCAACUGCUCACUUUGAAAAGAGCAGGAGGGUGAGGGACUGGGAUCAGAAACGGGGAAGGGCGAACCUUCUUUUCCCAAUAUAUUUUCUAUAUAUACUUGUCUGUGCAAAUAUAGUGAAAUGGAUUAUUUUUCCUGUCCAUCAAUCUGUUGCCAGCUUGGAGGCUGCACUGUGAAUGCUUCACACGAUUCAGCUUUCCCUUAACCUUCAACUUCCCCAUGUGAGACACUGAUUCCCCCAAAUGCGGAUGGAGCGUCUUUUCUGUGCCGGGCCAGGUCAUCCUGGUCAAGCAGACAUCCCGUAAGCAUCUACCUUGCAAAUGUUUCUGUGGACGUGGAAGUCUAAACAUUACAAAAACCUUACCGAGGAAUGUGAUUAACCCAAGGAGGGCUGCCAAACUAAAAAAACAAAACAAAACAAAAAACCCAAAACCAGUUUUUUUCUAAGUCAGAAGGGUGGCUGGUUUUUAGGCGGCUAGAAGAUGUUCACUUUUUACCUCUGGGUCCUUAAUACUAAGACAUCUUAAUACUAAGACAUAUUUCAUCUAAAUGUUGAGAAACUCUAGCGUGGCUGCGAGAAGGAAGAUCUCAAGGAAUGGACCACUGAUGAGUUUUAUCUGCCAUCCUAAAAAGUGAGUGCAAAAUUUCUUCAACAAGGUUAAGCUCUGAUAUUUCCUAAAUGAUAAAUAAUUCAUGUUUUAAAAUGUAGAAGAUGUUCUGAUAGCUGACAUUCUCCAAAAUGCAUGCAAAACUUCUUUGAAAUUAGAAUAGGAUGAUUCAUUCACUUUCUCACUUUGCAAGUCCAACCAAUAUAGCAUAUAAAUAUUUACACGUCAGCACGCAUAAGCAGACAAGCAAUUCCGUAGCACACACACUCCUGUAACCAACAAACAGCCCCCCGUUUCCGUACAGGCCGGUGUUAAUCCGGCCUCACAGAUCACUGGAGCAGUUUCAUGCUCGGCUGGUCUAAGCUGUGAUUUGAGGCUACUGUUCUAAGCAGUAAUUUUUCAAGAUAAAAUUCAGCAGUUUUGAAAUUCUAAAACUAAACACAAUUUUGUCAGCCAUAAAAAAAAAUUUAACACUAUAAUUAAUGACUGCUUCAAAAUCCCAAAUUGCUAUUGAAGAUGACAGUUUGAAAUCACAGAAGAAUCCUAAAGAUGAUUAAUUAUACAAACUGGUACUUGUUUCAGAAGGUUUGUAUUCAUAGGCCAUUUACCACCAAAAUGGGAAUAUAUGAAUUUCACUGAAUAUUGCAAAUUACUAUGCACGCAUUAAUUUGGUUUUUAUAAAAUUAGAUAUUAGGGUUUUCUUUUCAUUGAAUCAACUUCUCUGUAAUACAUAAAAGUCAGAAGUAUUUUCUUAUCAUUCCAGGAAAAGUGGUUUGAAAAGAUAUUAAUCCUAUAAAUUCAUUUUUACAAACUAAUGUACCUGAAUAAGCACAGUAUUUAUAUAAUAAUUAGUUUAAUUAUGGUCUUUUACAUAUAUAAUUGCCAAAAUGAAAGCCACUGCUACUACAUUCACUAUAAGAUGAGUAAUUAUAACGUUAAUUGGAAUUAAUAGCGUUUUUCUUUUUCUGUUUUAAAUUAAGCACUUUUCCUAGAAGACAUCAAGUUAAUACUAAAAUUACAAUCCUACAUUUUAACCAAAUUAUUUAAUUUCAAAUACAUGUAAUUUAUUAUGACAAGGAAAUGGAUUAAUAUAUUAUUUCAGAGUAGCUUAUUUUAGGUAAUUAUAUUUAUUAGCACCCCAAAUCUGCUCAAAUAGGCCUUUGUGCUUUUGACUCCACUGCACAGUGUUGUGGCUAUGGCAAUAAAAAUUCAGGUAAAAACUGAAAAGUCCCAUUGAAAAUCCCAAUGCUUUGUUUUUGUGUCAUUAAAUGUCUAGAUAUUAGCAACAGAACUAAGUAUCUGGAUGCUUGGGCACAACACAAUAACUUAUGCCAAAGUCUUGGCUUUUCUAAGAAGUGUUUGGCAUCGGCUAAAGAAAAUAAUAUUGUUUAUCCACUGAAGAAUAAAGCCAGCACUUGCAAAGACCUUUGAGAAACUUGGGGUGAUUUUAACUGCACUUGGAGAAGGUGAGCCCAGCCCCGCUCUCCGUUCCGGAGGCCGCCGCAGCUUGGCCCUGCUAUCAGGGUCGUCCUCAGUGGGGGCUGCUGGCCUUCCUAAAGCACAAUGAAAUGAAGUGAUUUCACAUCCAGUUCUUUGUCAUUAAGGGACUCUCACUUGAACCCCCAAAUCGCAGUGUAACUUUGCAUUUUGUUCUGCGCACCCCUUCCCCGUGGAGGGGGAUGACUUCUACUCAGCGCACAGACUUCUGGAAAACGGAUGCAGGUCCUGUUCUACUGCAAACAAGGAGGAGUUCACCAAGGCAAACGAUUAUUGCCUAAGUGUAAUUCACUUAAAAACCAGAAACGUAUUGUAUUUAUUUUGUGUCACUCAAAUUCUUUUGAACUCCAGCACUAACAGUUUAUCAGAUUCCUCUAUAUUGAACUGCUCUUUAAAGUGCAGGAGAGAUGGCUCAUCAAAUCGCUUUCUUCUCUCCAUCUGCUAGCUGCCUAGGAAGCUGCUGGAGGCACUCUUCAAGAGUCCUUGUACAUUACAGCUGGACCGCCAUUCUGAAGUGUCUAUCGCCAUAGGCCCUUUUCCCCGUUGGGAUCCCAAAUAAACUGUCAUCCUGAUUUUUCAUUUCCACUCUACAGUACAGUCAGUUAAUUGAAUGGGAUCGUGUGACCCCACAGCAAACAGACUGCAUCCCACGGUGUGAAGAAGAAGAGCCUCAAAACUUAUUCAGGAGCUGGGCUCAUCUUUAACUUCACAUCUUAGAAAAUGUAAAUGGUUCAUGCAACCACUGUCUAUUUUAAUAACUUUGAAAGUGCACAAAUAGAAUAAAAAUUAUAGCCAAGUAAUAAAAGGGGUCUUCUCUGUCUUUCAUUGAAUUCACAUAACUUCCAUUUAUGCUAAUAGGAGUUAAGCACCUGCUUCGCAAAGAAAAUAGACCCCUACCUGUGAAAAUAAAUGUGUACACUAUAUUUUCCAGAUACAGUGCUGAAAUCAAACAACCAAAAAUGUGUGCUAUAUAAACAAAGCAUCAUGUGGCCUACCUGGAAACAUUGCUGUUUUAUAUU